rnacentral:rRNA from 1 species
UACGUAGGUGGCAAGCGUUGUCCGGAUUUACUGGGCGUAAAGGGAGCGUAGGUGGAUAUUUAAGUGGGAUGUGAAAUACCCGGGCUUAACCUGGGUGCUGCAUUCCAAACUGGAUAUCUAGAGUGCAGGAGAGGAAAGGAGAAUUCCUAGUGUAGCGGUGAAAUGCGUAGAUAUAUGGAGGAACACCAGUGGCGAAGGCGCCUUUCUGGACUGUAACUGACACUGAGGCUCGAAAGCGUGGGGAGCAAAC